CCUUAUGACGCUCUCCUACUCCAAGCAAGAGGUCGGUCCAGAUUCGUGCCCGUUAAAGCAGACAGGAAGGAAGAAGGCUCCGCCUCAUCAAGGUCUUUAUUCAGUGAGGGAGUGCCUCUGAGUUGGACGCCAUGGUGCCGUGGAGGCUGGAGGCGCGACUGGCAGAGACGGUGAGGGCAGCGCUCCUCGGCUGGCUCUUCUUCUGCAUCACCGUCGCCAGCGAUGUCGCAUAUGCGCUCAGAAGCAGCGAUCUCUCCAUCUAAGGCCGGCCACGUUCAACAUCGCCGGCUGCCUUUUCAACUCUGCGCCUACAAAGUGGCAGUUCAUUGGAC
rnacentral:rRNA from 1 species